CAAGAAAUAUGUGCAAAUAAACCUUUCCUUCUCUCUGUCUCUCUCUCUCUCUCUCCCACCCGGACUGUAAUGUAAUCCAGCAGUUGCCGACGAUGGCGACACCGCCGACAGAGCCCAUUCCUUUCUUCCAUGGUCGCCGACUGAGAGCUCUUUUCCCAUUUCCCAGAUUCCCAUGAUUGAAGUACUGUUGAGAUUUUGAUAAUGGGACUCAAACGCAGACUCUGCCCAACCCUCUCUCUUAAUCUCGGCCAAACUUCAAUCUCCUAUGCCAGAUUUGAACUCAACAAUGCUAAACCCAGACUAGGUCCUCCAAUUUUCGGCUUCAAAAACAACUCCGAUGAUGACUGUGGCAAAAUGAAGCUCUGCUGUGAGGAGGAGAAGAGUUUGCUAUUGGUUUGCCGUUUGGAGAAGAAGCUUUGAACGUGUUUAGGGAAUAUUGGAAGUUUUAAUUGGGUUAGGAUUGAGUGUAAUAAGGUGUAUUGAGUUUAAAUUUGUUAGUUAAUAUAUCUUCUCAUGAUUGGCUGGUAUAAAAUGUGUCUUUUAGGCCAGCUCUAUUAUUAUUAUUAUUAUUUUGACAAGUAUUAUUAUUAUUUUGACAAGUAUUAUUAUUAUUAUUUCUAGUGAGAUUUGAGCUUAAAAUCUAUCUUUUGAAAAGACAAAAGAUUCGUAGAGCUAGAUUAUAUAUGUCAAGUACGUAAAUUAGUGUGGAUUAUUGUGAAUAAAAUAUUAAACAACGUGGUGUUAUUGGAUUUGUCGAGAAAAAUAUUUAUGCCACC